UCCCAGAGGCAAGAAAACAGGGUUUAAUUCCCUGCAGCUUAUUGCAGUUUUAUGUUAGAGCAACGCCACUGAUUUCAGAGACAUUACUCUGGUGCAAUACUGGAGCUGGCAGGAUUGUCAACUGGAUUUUCUCACUUUCCUGUAUAUUAGUGAUCAAUCAAUGCUGGAAAUGAAGGAGGAGGAGGAGGAGGAGGAUAAAGAGGAGGUGCUUUAGGCAGCAGACAAGAGAUAAGAGAUUCUUCUGCAGACUGGGAAAGAGACCACAGUGGAGCAGAUAAUCACCAAGCUGAUGGAAAGGAUUGUGUUGGAGCAGAUUCCCAUGCUGCAGCUCAGGAAGGAUGCCAUGCCCCCUUUCACCAUCCCAGGGGUAAGGGGAAGGAUACAGAGAAACUGGGACUGAAGGACAAAAGUUGUGACUGAAAAGAGAAAAAAAGAGGGGUGGUGGAGUUUAAUUUUUUGUCUGUUUCCUGCAAUAAAUCAAUUUUCUCUGUUGA